GGGGAUAACGUAGGGAAACUUACGCUAAUACCGCAUACGACCUACGGGUGAAGGCGGAGGACCUUCGGGCUUCGCGCGAUUGAAUGAGCCGAUGUCGGAUUAGCUAGUUGGCGGGGUAAAGGCCCACCAAGGCGACGAUCCGUAGCUGGUCUGAGAGGAUGAUCAGCCACACUGGAACUGAGACACGGUCCAG
rnacentral:rRNA from 1 species